GCCGGGAAGGUUCAGCACCACGGACAGCAGCCAGCAUUUUGCAGGCGGAAUGUGCUGCUCCUCUGAGCAAAGGAAACACAUCUUGUGCCUCUACUCCAUGGGACCACAAUUUACCCUUGGACACCUUCCGUAGGCAGAAGGGGUCCUAUGCCGUUAUCUCACUGAAUGUGGGGGGCCUGAUGUAUAGCAACCCCAGUCUAUCUGGAUGAAAGGUGUCAGCUAGAAAGCUGACUCCAGCAAGUGGGAAAAAGCACAGUAAAGAUGCAAACGGAACAACUUGAAAAACUGCAAGUCACUUCUGGUGUGAGAGAAUUGGCCGUCUGCAAGAACGUUACCCAGGGGACGCCUGGAUGUUUGAUGUUUUACCAUCCUUGUGGGAAGCUUCUCCCAUGUUUCCACAUGGGGAGCUGGAGCUGACAGAGGGAGCUCACCCGCUCUCCCCAGAUUCGAACUGCCAACCUGUCGGUCAGCAAUCCUGCUGGCACAAAGUUUUAACCCAUUGCACCAUCGGGGGCUCCAUCACUCGACUGAGAGAAGGGGAUGGCAUUUUGACUAAAAUUUCUAGACUUAUACAUGUGUAUAAAAUAAGUCUGGAUAUAAUGUUUGGUCAAAAUCUGUUCAUAAUAAAUGUGCAUUCUUGAGU